rnacentral:lncRNA from 1 species
AGGGUAGAGAAAGGAUAAGAGGAGUUUCCAGUGAAAAGUCAAAAUGGAGAAAGGAAUACCAGCCAUUAACCAGAAGAAAAUUUAAAGAAGGAAACUGUUCAAUAGAUACCAUGUCUUCAGCCCUUUGAUACUAAAGAUUAGCUCACAGGAAAAAAUAACCUCAAGCAAUCCGUAUCUAAUGGUCAAUCUGUUAGCCCUGAUUGACCCAGAACUAAAAGGCCAGCUUCAGAAAGGUUUGAGAAAAACCUUCGCUUUUCAGAGUGUAUUAAUUUGGGUCUCAGCAGCACACAGAUACAUUUGGACUCAGCAAACAGGUUGCAGGUCAGUUAUCUGCAGAUAUUGCCAGCCAAAAC